UACAGAGGGUGCAAACGUUUGUUCGGAAUUACUGGGCGUAAAGCGUGCGCAGGCGGUGAUGUAAGACAGGUGUGAAAUCCCCGGGCUUAACCUGGGAACUGCAUUUGUGACUGCAUCGCUGGAGUGCGGCAGAGGGGGAUGGAAUUCCGCGUGUAGCAGUGAAAUGCGUAGAUAUGCGGAGGAACACCGAUGGCGAAGGCAAUCCCCUGGGCCUGCACUGACGCUCAUGCACGAAAGCGUGGGAGCAAACAGG
rnacentral:rRNA from 1 species